AAUCAACGCUGGCGGCAUGCCUAACACAUGCAAGUCGAACGAGAAAGUGCAGCAAUACAUGAGUACAGUGGCGACCGGGUGAGUAACACGUGACUAACCUACCUUCUUGUGGGGAAUAACCUUCCGAAAGGAGGGCUAAUACCGCAUAACAUCGCGAGGUGAGAUUCCUUGUGAUCAAAGGAGCAAUCCGCAGGAAGAGGGGGUCGCGGCUGAUUAGCUAGUUGGUGAGGUAACGGCUCACCAAGGCAGUGAUCAGUAUCCGGCCUGAGAGGGCGCACGGACACACUGGAACUGAAAUACGGUCCAGACUCCUACGGGAGGCAGCAGUGGGGAAUUUUGCGAAAUGGGGGAAACCUUGACGCAGCAACGCCGCGUGGAGGAUGAAGGUCUUUGGAUUGUAAACUCCUUUCGAUCGGGACGAUGAUGACGGUACCGGAAGAAGAAGCACCGGCUAACUCCGUGCCAGCCGCCUCGGUAACAC
rnacentral:rRNA from 1 species